GACGAACGCUGGCGGCGUGCCUAAUACAUGCAAGUCGAACGCAUUUUCUUUCACCGUAGCUUGCUACACCGAAAGAAAAUGAGUGGCGAACGGGUGAGUAACACGUGGGUAACCUGCCCAUCAGCGGGGGAUAACACUUGGAAACAGGUGCUAAUACCGCAUAAUUCCAUUUACCGCAUGGUAGAUGGAUGAAAGGCGCUUUUGCGUCACUGAUGGAUGGACCCGCGGUGCAUUAGCUAGUUGGUGGGGUAACGGCCUACCAAGGCUGCGAUGCAUAGCCGACCUGAGAGGGGGAUCGGCCACACUGGGACUGAGACACGGCCCAGACUCCUACGGGAGGCAGCAGGAGGGAAUCUUCGGCAAUGGACACAAGUCUGAACGAGCAACGCCGCGUGAGGGAAGAAGGUUUUCGGAUCGUAAAACUCUGUUGUUAGAGAAGAACAAGGAUGGGAGUGGAAAGUUCAUCCCUUGACGGUAUCUAACCAGAAAGCCACGGCUAACUACGUG
rnacentral:rRNA from 1 species